GGACGAUUAACUCAGUGGUAGAGUGCUACCUUCACACGGUAGAAGUCAUCGGUUCAAACCCGGUAUCGUCCA
rnacentral:tRNA from 2 species